UUAAGUUCAGCGGGUAAUCCUGCCUGAUCUGAGGUCUAAUCUAAAAUUUGACUAGAGGGAUUGGAAGCUUCCACUUUUAUCUAAUUCGGCCACCCUAUUGUUAAGGUGUCCUCAACGAAUAGUCUAUUACGCUGAGUCAAUCCGAGUUUCGAAAUUGAGAUGCUAAUGUAUUACGAACGAGCAAUAGUUAAAUUGCAAAA
rnacentral:misc_RNA from 1 species